UACAGAGGGGGCAAGCGUUGUUCGGAAUUACUGGGCGUAAAGGGCGCGUAGGCGGCCAACUAAGUCGGACGUGAAAUCCCAAGGCUCAACCUUGGAACUGCGUCCGAUACUGGAUGGCUUGAAUCCGGGAGAGGGAUGUGGAAUCCAGGUGUAGCGGUGAAAUGCGUAGAUAUCUGGAGGAACACCGGUGGCGAAGGCGGCGAUCCGUAGGACCCGGGUACUUGACGG
rnacentral:rRNA from 1 species